rnacentral:rRNA from 1 species
GACGAACGCUGGCGGCGUGCCUAAUACAUGCAAGUUGAGCGCUGAAGGUUGGUACUUGUACCAACUGGAUGAGCAGCGAACGGGUGAGUAACGCGUGGGGAAUCUGCCUUUGAGCGGGGGACAACAUUUGGAAACGAAUGCUAAUACCGCAUAAAAACUUUAAACACAAGUUUUAAGUUUGAAAGAUGCAAUUGCAUCACUCAAAGAUGAUCCCGCGUUGUAUUAGCUAGUUGGUGAGGUAAAGGCUCACCAAGGCGAUGAUACAUAGCCGACCUGAGAGGGUGAUCGGCCACAUUGGGACUGAGACACGGCCCAAACUCCUGCGGGAGGCAGCAGUAGGGAAUCUUCGGCAAUGGACGAAAGUCUGACCGAGCAACGCCGCGUGAGUGGAGAAGGGUUUCGGAUCGUAAAACUCUGUUGGUAGAGAAGAACGUUGGUGAGAGUGGAAAGCUCAUCAAGUGACGGUAACUACCCAGAAAGGGACGGCUAACUACGUG